rnacentral:rRNA from 1 species
ACGAACGCUGGCGGCGCGCCUAACACAUGCAAGUCGAACGGAGUUAUUUUCUUCACUCCGAGCUUUUUGCCAGUUAGCCGGAGCGGCAAUCGGUUUUGCCCAGCAUAAAAAGCAAAACCGAUUUAGGCUCAUAAAGUAAGGCUAACACAGAGGGCAGAAAGUUGGGAGUGAAGAAAAUAACUUAGUGGCGAACGGGUGAGUAACGCGUGAGUAACCUGCCCUGGAGUGGGGGACAACAGUUGGAAACGACUGCUAAUACCGCAUAAGCCCACGGCCCGGCAUCGGGCUGCGGGAAAAGGAUUUAUUCGCUUCAGGAUGGACUCGCGUCCAAUUAGCUAGUUGGUGAGGUAACGGCCCACCAAGGCGACGAUUGGUAGCCGGACUGAGAGGUUGAACGGCCACAUUGGGACUGAGACACGGCCCAGACUCCUACGGGAGGCAGCAGUGGGGGAUAUUGCACAAUGGGGGAAACCCUGAUGCAGCGACGCCGCGUGGAGGAAGAAGGUUUUCGGAUUGUAAACUCCUGUCGUUAGGGACGAUAAUGACGGUACCUAACAAGAAAGCACCGGCUAACUACGUGCCAGCAGCCGCGGUAAAACGUAGGGUGCAAGCGUUGUCCGGAAUUACUGGGUGUAAAGGGAGCGCAGGCGGACCGGCAAGUUGGAAGUGAAAACUAUGGGCUCAACCCAUAAAUUGCUUUCAAAACUGCUGGCCUUGAGUAGUGCAGAGGUAGGUGGAAUUCCCGGUGUAGCGGUGGAAUGCGUAGAUAUCGGGAGGAACACCAGUGGCGAAGGCGACCUACUGGGCACCAACUGACGCUGAGGCUCGAAAGCAUGGGUAGCAAACAGGAUUAGAUACCCUGGUAGUCCACACCGUAAACGAUGGAUACUAGGUGUAGGGGAUAUUAAGUCUUCUGUGCCGUCGCAAACGCAGUAAGUAUCCCACCUGGGGAGUACGGCCGCAAGGUUGAAACUCAAAGGAAUUGACGGGGGCCCGCACAAGCAGUGGAGUAUGUGGUUUAAUUCGACGCAACGCGAAGAACCUUACCAAGUCUUGACAUCCCACUGACCGGACAGUAAUGUGUCCUUUCCUUCGGGACAGUGGAGACAGGUGGUGCAUGGUUGUCGUCAGCUCGUGUCGUGAGAUGUUGGGUUAAGUCCCGCAACGAGCGCAACCCCUGUGAUUAGUUGCCAGCGAGUAAUGUCGGGAACUCUAAUCAAACUGCCGGUGAUAAAUCGGAGGAAGGUGGGGACGACGUCAAAUCAUCAUGCCCUUUAUGUCUUGGGCUACACACGUACUACAAUGGCUAUAACAAAGAGAAGCGAGACAGUGAUGUGGAGCAAAACUCAAAAAAAUAGUCUCAGUUCGGAUUGAAGGCUGAAAUUCGCCUUCAUGAAGCUGGAAUUGCUAGUAAUGGCAGGUCAGCAUACUGCCGUGAAUACGUUCCCGGGCCUUGUACACACCGCCCGUCACACCAUGAGAGUUGGGGAUACCCGAAGCCUGUGAGCCAACAGUAAUGAGGCAGCAGUCGAAGGUAGAAUCAAUGAUUGGGGUG